GAGCCCCCGCCCGGCCGAGACGGCCCUCGUGGAAUCCGGACCCGGACCCCCUCCACCGCUGGUCGGUGCCAGGCACUGCAGACGGUAACGUGUUGUAAGAUGGAAAAAGUAGACAAUGAUGUAAAACACUUUCACAAAACUGAACACUGUUUUUGAGCUGAUGAUUAGGGUAGCAGUAUAAUCCAUCAUUCAUAUAUUUAAAGCUAAGAAUAAGACCGUCGGCUUGCUGCAAGGCUGGUGCAUAGAAAGGCAAAGACCCUAUUUUUAAAGACCAAAUGUUUCGUGCACUUCUGUGACUGAUCUAGAAAGUGAUUUAUUUCCUCAUUUGCAGGAAUUAGUACUGGAAUUAAUAUUAAUCAAUGGCAAGGAAGAGCAGAACAGAGGAUGGUCCUGUGAUGGAUGGUCCUGUGAAGUAUCUUUCCUUCAGAAAUGACUCUUUCCAUUCCUUUCAUGUAUUUGCCUUGUCUGGAAGACUGAUUAUGAGCUUCUUAGGACAGCCUUCACUUUAGAUUUGAGGCCCAGAGAAGUUUAGCAAUUUUUUCAAGCCUACACAGCUGGUUAGUCGCAGAGCUGGGCCUAAAAUCUUGGACCAUUUCCAAAUCCAGUGUUUACUCUACUGUAUCACACUGUGAAACUCUUAUGUUGAUCACUGUGAGUGCUUAAUAAAUAUUAGAUUUCUAACAGCA